rnacentral:rRNA from 1 species
UGCCAGCCGCCGCGGUAAUACGGAGGGUGCAAGCGUUAAUCGGAAUUACUGGGCGUAAAGGGCGCGUAGGCGGUUGUAUAAGUGUAUUGUGAAAUCCCAGGGCUCAACCUUGGAACUGCACUACAAACUGUACGACUAGAGUGUAAUAGAGGGAGGUAGAAUUUCCGGUGUAGCGGUGAAAUGCGUAGAGAUCGGAAGGAAUACCGGUGGCGAAGGCGGCCUCCUGGAUUAACACUGACGCUGAGGUGCGAAAGCGUGGGGAGCAAACAGGAUUAGAUA